GUGUGAGUGUGAGAGUGAGAACAGCCCCGCAGGUCCCGAGGCGCUGGCUGGGGACUCUGCCGCGGAAAGUUCCCAGUCCCCAGCCGCAGGUAAUGGAGAGGGAAUAGAGAGGUUCCCUGUUUGCAUCAGCAAAUGCGAAAACAUAAUAGCAACAGCAGCGGUGUCCUCUCUCCGGAGCGGGGUUUCCAAUGACGCUAACAUUCUUUUUCCUUUAAGUCUUUUUCCUAUGCCACAAUAUAGAAUGGUCCCCUGCGGCUUCCUGGUAAUGAAUGACCCGAGAGUAACACCGCCACAACCUGCAAGAAAAGGAGAUCCCUUUACCCAAUCCCGAGAUCUGCAGGAUUGAAAUGAAAUAUUUUGAGCUCUUCCAACUGACUCAUCAGAAUUCUGGAGCAUUUUUAAAAUGACGUGUGUUUGCUUCUUAUUUGACAAUGAUACAGUCAGCAUAAUGCUAGCAUUUGUCUGAAAAUGAAAGGAAACAACUUUAAAAUAAUUUUAAUACGGAAAGAAAUAAUCAAAUGAAGAUGAUUAUGGAAUCUUUUUUACCUACUGACCACAACAACUAGAUCCAGCAACAAUGGAGAAGAUUACUCAAUAUCCAGAGAUUCUGAAAUUUCAGCUAUCUGUGUAAGUGAAUAAAAUUUUGGAUUGUCUCCUUUGGAGAACAAGUGAGUAGAUACCACCUGUGGAAAGAAGGCACACGUAAAUAUGUAUAAAGGGAAAGAUGGUUUGGGAAGAAAUUACUGGCUACUCAACAGUGUUCUUGUUCUCCACCUCUUGAUCUCAGAGGUAAAGAUUUCUUACCUCUCUUGAUCUUUUUGUGUGGACAUUUCCUGAGUUCUAGCCAAUGAAGUGUGAGCAGAGUUGACCUUUCCAGUCUUGGCCCGUUAAAAACUUCCAUGUUUGCUCCUGUGAGCUCUGUUUGCUUUCUAUUUGGAAGGAAGAACAUUGCCAGGCAGGACUUGGAUUGGCAUAAGGUGAAGAUGACAGUAUGUCUGUUGGCCAUUUGGAGGAAGAUUGCCCUACUGACCUGUUUACCCUUUUGAGCAAAAAAUAACCUUCUAAUAUAUUCGUAGUAUGUCUUAGGGCAAGUAUGACAAAGUAUAAUAGAUAGGUUGGCUUAUAAACACAAUUUAUUUCCUACAGUUCUGGAUCAUAGGGAGAGGGAGAAGCUGGUUUCCAGGCCCCUGGGAUGAUGACCUGAGCUGGAGGCAGACACUUGACUAGCUGAGCAAUACUGGCACCCACUUAGAAUGCCUUUAAAUGUAGGUAUUCUGUUGAGCAGUGUGCUGCUUCUCCAAUUUCUCUUUUUGGGAAGACUGUAAUUGAUUUACUUUGAAUUAUAGCGCCAUUUCUAAAGCAAUAGUUUGCUAUAAUAUAAUUUUGAUGCCACAUGCCUAACCUUGUGGUAUGGACACAUCAGAACUGCAUAGAAUGAAUCCCAUUGAUGAAAUAGAGGCUCAUCUAUCAGAUAAAAGGGAAAAGUAAUUCACACACACACACACACAAAAUGCUGAUUUCUACUAUGAGGACCUAUCUAAAUUUCAUCUGCAGUCAUAGAUGCUCACGUCUAUAUGGAAUCAUAAGGUGAUAAUCUAUGCAUCUCCCCAGCUCUCUGUUCAUCCUCCUUCAAAAUGAAAUGAAAAUAUUUCAGUGGCAUGAUUUUAUUUUUCUUUUGUAGACCUCUUCUAGGCACUAAUUGGGACUGAUUUGAUCUGAUACAUUGUUCAUCUCCUAGUAUUGUCAGAAGUUAUAUGAUAAAUGGAAUUGACUUUGUAUAUGGUAUAAUGUUUUUCCUGUAUAUAAUCAAUUAUUUUCCAGCAUCAUCUGCUGAAUUAGAUAUUGAAGUGUUUUCCUAGUGGUUUGUAAAAGCAUGGCUACAGAUACAAAUAUUCUUAUGUGAAGAUCUGAAUCAUGGCUCCUUAAUCUGUUCAUUGUCCAUCUCUGUCCCAACAUCACACAGUUGGUAUUACUAAAUGUCUUAAUAUUUGACAGGUUGAAGUGCUCUUCCUAAUGCUGCAGCUUUAAUUUGUCUUGGUGAUGCAUUGUCCUUUAUUAUUCCACAUGGAUUUGUAGCAAACUUGUUAGCUGUGAAAAUCAUUUUUCAUAAUAUUUAGUCUCGCCAACUAUGGAUACAUUAUUCAUUUCUUUUUUUUUUAAUAUUAGUAUGCACUUUUAGUAGUAAUAGGUGUAGGAGUAAUAGUAGUAACAAUAGCAACAACCAGUUGAAUGGUAGUUACUAUGUGAUAAAUG